rnacentral:rRNA from 1 species
AGGACGAACGCUGGCGGCGUGCCUAACACAUGCAAGUCGAGCGGGGACAUACGACGGAUCGGAAGUUUCGGAUGGAAGAGAAGAUGUAUGUUCUAGCGGCGGACGGGUGAGUAACGCGUGAGCAACCUGCCUUCACAGGGGGAUAACACAGCGAAAGUUGUACUAAUACCGCAUGAGACCACACUGGGACAUCCCAGAGGGGUCAAAGGAGCAAUCCGGUGAAGGGUGGGCUCGCGUCCGAUUAGAUAGUUGGUGAGGUAACGGCCCACCAAGUCGACGAUCGGUAGCCGACCUGAGAGGGUGAUCGGCCACAUUGGGACUGAGACACGGCCCAAACUCCUACGGGAGGCAGCAGUGGGGAAUAUUGGGCAAUGGGGGAAACCCUGACCCAGCAACGCCGCGUGAGGGAAGAAGGUUUUCGGAUCGUAAACCUCUGUCCUUGGUGAAGAGUGAGAGACGGUAGCCAAGGAGGAAGCCCCGGCUAACUACGUGCCAGCAGCAGC